AUUGAACGCUGGCGGCAUGCUUUACACAUGCAAGUCGAACGGCAGCGGGGGCUUCGGCCCGCCGGCGAGUGGCGAACGGGUGAGUAAUGCAUCGGAACGUGCCCAGUCGUGGGGGAUAACACAUCGAAAGAUGUGCUAAUACCGCAUACGUCCUGAGGGAGAAAGCGGGGGAUCUUCGGACCUCGCGCGAUUGGAGCGGCCGAUGUCGGAUUAGCUAGUUGGUGGGGUAAAGGCUCACCAAGGCGACGAUCCGUAGCUGGUCUGAGAGGAUGAUCAGCCACACUGGGACUGAGACACGGCCCAGACUCCUACGGGAGGCAGCAGUGAGGAAUAUUGGUCAAUGGACGCAAGUCUGAACCAGCCAUGCCGCGUGAGUGAAGAAGGCCUUCGGGUUGUAAGCUCUUUCGCAAGGAAGAAACGUAGUGGGCGUAAUAUCCUGCGCGGAUGACGGUACC
rnacentral:rRNA from 1 species